rnacentral:lncRNA from 10 species
ACUCUGUCACCCAGGCUGCAGUGCAGUGGUGCCAUCUGGGCUCACUGCAACCUCCGCCUCCCGGGUUCAAGCGAUUCUCCCACCUCAACCUCCCCAGUAGCUGGGAUUACAGGCGUGCGCCACCACGCCCGGCUAAUUUUUGUAUUUUAGUAGAGACGGGGUUUCACCAUGUUGGCCAGGAUGGUUUCUAACUCCCAAGCUCAAGUGAUCCACCUGCCUCAGCCUCCCAAAGUGCUGGGAUUACAGGCAUGAGCAACCGCAACCAGCCUAAAUCUAUAAUUUAAUGCAUACAUAAUGUCAAACUAUUUUUCAAGAUCAUGGAAAAUGUUGAAGAUUUUUUUUUUUUUUUUUUUUUUUUUGAGACAGAGUGUUGCUCUGUGGCCCAGGCUGGAGUGCUAUGGCACUAUCUUGGCUCACUGCACCCUCUGCCUCCCAGGUUCAAGCAGUUCUCCUGUCUCAGCCUCUCCAGUAGCUAGGACUACAGGUGCAUACCACCACACCUGGCUAAUUUUUGUAUUUUUAGUAGAGACGGGAUUUCACCACAUUGGUCUGGCUGGUCUCGAACUCCUGACCCCACGUGAUCCACCCGCCUUGGCCUCCCAAAGUGCUGGGAUUACAGGCGUGAGCCACCACUCCUGGCCAAUAAUUUUAAACUUUAAACUUAAAUAAUCUUUUAUUGUUAAAGAAAUAAGAAAGAUUAUAAACCUAUGGAGCUAUUAACUAGGAUGUUAAAAUUGACUUCUAUAUGUCUUGACCCUAAGAUAAUAUUAUUAAUGUGGAAUUUGUAGCUUGCAUGAAAUAUUACUAACUCAUAGCUUUCCUCCAUACACAUUUUACAGUUAUGGUUGCUCUAAGUAGUCAAAGUUGUCAUUCAUAGGGUGGAAUAGCAUAGCAAAAAAGAGAAAACAGAAAAACUCAAAUUAGAGUAACAAAAUUUUUUAAAAUUAUGAAAUGACACACCUAAACCUUCACUAAUAUCCUAAAGUGAAUAGACUAAAUUGACUUUAAAGAGAAACAAUAAUUACUCUUCAAAGGAAUCAGUUGUGAAAAAGAGUAAAAUGUGGAGGAGAAGCCCCAAAAACACUGUGAAAAGGCACUGCUAUAAGAGUUUGGAGCUCAGAGUUGCUAUCCCCAGUUCUACACAUUGAAAUCACCUGGGAACUCUCCCUCUCCCUCUCCCUCUCCCUCCCCCUCCCCCUCCCCCUCCCCCUCUCCCCACGGUCUCCCUCUCCCUCUCCCCACGGUCUCCCUCUGAUGCCGAGCUGAAGCUGGACGGUACUGCUGCCUGAUUCUCCUGCCUCAGCCUGCCGACUGCCUGCGAUUGCAGGCGCGCCGCCACGCCUGACUGGUUUUCGUAUUUUUUUGGUGGAGACGGGGUUUCGCUGUGUUGGCUGGGCUGGUCUCCAGCUCCUAACCGCGAGUGAUCCGCCAGCCUCGGCAUCCUGAGGUGCCGGGAUUGCAGACGGAGUCUCAUUCACUCCGUGCUCAAUGGUGCCCAGGCUGGAGUGCAGUGGCGUGAUCUCGGCUCGCUACAACCUUCACCUCCCAGCAGCCUGCCUUGGCCUCCCAAAGUGCCGAGAUUGCAGCCUCUGCCCGGCCGCCACCCCAUCUGGGAAGUGAGGAGCGUCUCUGCCCGGCCGCCCAUCAUCUGGGAUGUGAGGAACCCCUCUGCCUGGCUGCCCAGUCUGGAAAGUGAGGAGCGUCUCUGCCCGGCAGCCACCUCGUCCGGCAGGGAGGUGGGGGGGUCAGCCCCCUGCCCGGCCAGCCACCCCGUCCGGGAGGGAGGUGGGGGGGUCAGCCCCCCGCCCGG